AUAAUUAGGUCAAUCAAGAAUAAUACAAAGUAAUAAACAAAAAAAAGUACUCCAAAAUUGCUUUAAAGAUCUUUAUAUGUUUCAGAACCAUACACAGUUUGCACUCCCUAUGCUCCUAAAGAAUUAAUGUGCACAGGAACAAACAGAAUAUAUCGGAAAAUUGUUUUGAUAGUAAAUGAUACAGUUUUCUCUUAAUGACUAUUAUAGUAUUUUAAAUUCUUCAUUGCGAAUAUGCUCCCUCUCUCCCCUCAAUCACUAAUACCUUGACAGAAUGAGUAAUAAAUAAAUAAGAAAAAAAAUUCAGUUUAUCAUUCGCCUUCUUGCCUCCCAGUACCACUCGACCAAGGUAGCCCACGAAGAGCUUUGCUGUAAGAAAUAUUGUCAUUCCACAGAAUCCACUAAGAUUUCAGAAAGACACCAGUUUUAGAGUAGUGUCCAGCUAAACAGUCAUGCUGAGUGAAAAGUCCAACAAUUGUGGCUGCCUUAUGCCUGGGCCAUUCAGGUCUUUGUAAUGCAAGUGUCAAUGAAAGCUGUAUGUAUUGUUGAUGGUUUUAAAGUAGUGGUCAGACGCAGGGAUAUAAAGAUGCUUUUAGUCUUUUUUGCAAUGAGAAACACCACAGUGACUAUGUUUCCAGAGACAUGCGAUACAUGCCAAAUUAAAACACAAAUUUAGUCAAAGCCACAACUUUGUGCUUGGCAUGGAUUUUAAUUAAAGCUCUAUCAAUUCUGAGGGUGAA